rnacentral:lncRNA from 1 species
GCUAGGGCAAGAAAGAGGAGGUUGGCAUUGUGGCGUGGAUCUGUAGGGGAGCACCAGUAUCGUGGUGUACGUGGUAGGUGUGAAGCUCGGCAGACAACAGAGGAUCAGGUAUGUAGAGUAUUAGAUUUUUAAUCAAGAUAAUGAAUAUGGGUGAUGAGAAGGUAAGUGUAGAUGAUGAAUGAAAGAAAUAUCGAAACAGAUCCGAUUUGGAUGAACUCGUUCAUAGAUGAUGAAUGAAGUGAGAUGACAGUAGGAUACCCAAGCACUUUGGGCUGCUGGUUUUGCUAAGUGUAGUUUACUGGUUGAUAGUUUAGUUUAAUAUUGUAUUAUAAUAUUAUAUUAUUGGUGGGAUAAUAACUUAUAAAAUGUUUACCAUGUGGUCUGUUUCUAUUGUUUUUUGUUGCUGUUUUCAGAUGCAAAAAAAACUAUCGGAGUGCAUAGCAUGUUAAAUUAUAGAAUAUCUAUUAAGUGUCAUGUUUCGAUUGGGUUUUUUUGAGCUAAUUUGGAAUGAAGGAAUACAGUAUUAGAUCGGGGUUUCGUGUGAUAUUUUGAUGCCAUGUGAGGGUCAUGAAGAUAGAAUCUGAGCGGGGUAGCUUCAAAAUAAAUUAUGUUUGAGUUGAAAUAAUUAGUAAUUAAUUUCAUGUAUGAGGACCAUGCUUUCUAGAACUGAUUUAAUUAACUGGGUUGUUGCUGAUUUAAACAUGAUAAUAUGAUUAAGGGAAGGAUUACAUGAAUGGACAUGAGAAUAAAGGUAGAAAUGCAUGUAUAAACAAGUUAAUGAAUGAAUGCAUGAGUGAGAUAUGACCGGGGUAUUUUGACGCCUAACCGACGGUGAACGAUGAACGACGAAUGAUGACCUAUAUGGGUUUUAUGAAUGAUGAUUGAUUGAUGUAAUUAGAUUGAAGGGUUUUACUUGUUUGCUUGUUAUGUAAAUUUAUAAUAUUUGUAGAGUGAAAGUAACUUGAUAUUUGAGAAAUGUUAGAGUCUGGUGAUGUAAUCACUCACACGGAUGCAUACAAUGUUACAGGGAAUAAAGACAAUCUUGCCUAACUGAAGUGGUAGGAGACAAAUGACUCGUCGAGGUGACGAAGCUCGUGUGCGUAGAGCGUAAAAUUUUGUAUUCAUUGUCCUUUACUUUGAUUGUAAUAAGUACUAUUUUAGGUUCCAUGAAUACUGAAUGCUUGUGGAAUAUUUCAUUAUGUUAAAUUUCAAGUAGGG